UUCCUACUCCCUCCGUUCCGAAUUACUUGUCGCAGGUAUGGAUGUAUCUAGAUGUAUUUUAGUUCUAGAUACAUCCAUUUCUGCGAUAAGUAAUUUGGAACGGAGGGAGUAGUAU
rnacentral:pre_miRNA from 1 species